rnacentral:rRNA from 1 species
UGAACGCUGGCGGUAGGCCUAACACAUGCAAGUCGAACGGCAGCACAGUAAGAGCUUGCUCUUACGGGUGGCGAGUGGCGGACGGGUGAGGAAUACAUCGGAAUCUACUUUUUCGUGGGGGAUAACGUAGGGAAACUUACGCUAAUACCGCAUACGACCUACGGGUGAAAGCAGGGGAUCUUCGGACCUUGCGCGAUUGAAUGAGCCGAUGUCGGAUUAGCUAGUUGGCGGGGUAAAGGCCAACCAAGGCGACGAUCCGUAGCUGGUCUGAGAGGAUGAUCAGCCACACUGGAACUGAGACACGGUCCAGACUCCAACGGGAGGCAGCAGUGGGGAAUAUUGUAAAAUGGGCGCAAGCCUGAUCCAGCCAUACCGCGGGGGUGAAGAAGGCCUUCGGGUUGUAAAGCCCUUUUGUUGGGAAAGAAAAGCAGCAGGUUAAUACCCCGCUGUUCUGACGGUACCCAAAGAAUAAGCACCGGCUAACUUCGUG